AUAGACAUGCCCAUAGCUUUGUUAAAAGCUUAAGAGCCCAGGCCAAAUUUCACCUGAUUCAAGCCCAGAACCAAUCUGGUUCUGAGGUAAUUCCAAGACCCUUAAAAGUUAAUUUUGGAAACUUGAUUCUGAAUAUUCUUCAGAAGACACUAGAACCUUCUAGAAUAAGGGACAAAUGUCCUAAUGCUUAGUAGGAAAAUAGGGAUAAGAUCCAAAAAUAUCCAAAAAUUGAACACUUGUCCAUUUUCUGAGAUAAGGAAGAUACUAGAAAUUGGAAAGCUGUCCAUUUCUGUUAAGAAAAUGCUUUUUUCCUUAUUUUUAGGGAAUUCUGACAGAUUCUUUAGUGCCCGAACAAGUCAUGCAUGGGCUCUUUGUCGAAUGAGUUUGCAUUCCUCAAUCCAAUCUUUAAACUUCCGAUAUCUAGAAUAACUCGCUGAAGCACCUCUCCAUUCACCUUUCGUUCCCAUUUCUUAUCCCUUUUCACUCUCUCACUCUAUAUAAACAUUGACCCUUUUCUUCAUUAGACAUGCAAUUUAUAGAUCUUAACACAUUGAAAUAGCUACACAGAGGUAUACCUGAAUACACCUGAUAUAGAUCGGAAUACUCACACACUAAAAAACACAAAAAAACCCUGAAAAUACACUCAUUUUGCACUGCUUUUGGAGUCUCUUUAUUUCACUUUUAGCAAGAACUCCUACUGGUUUCAUAUUAAUUUCUGGGAUUUCUGGGUUUGAAUCCGAAGCUGUUAUAGUUUCCUGUUUGGAUUUCUUCCUGUUGCUUUUACUCAAGUUUUCAGAAACAUAUUUUCUCUCUUUGCUUUGUUUUCUUGUUACUAUCAAGGUAUUUUCUUAACAAUGUAAAGUUAAUUUUGAUGUAUCAUGAAUAUGAUUUGCUGGUUAUCAAGAAUCUUACUUUGUUUGAAUGUUGCGUGAAUUAUAUUGGUUGAAGUUUUUUGGUUGAGAGUUGUGUAUAAAUUCAUGUGAGUUUAGUUAUUUACACUACUUUAGGAAAUUUCAGUUAUAUCAGCUUUAACGUUUAAAGUGUUGUAAGAAUUACAAAAUCUACUUAAGGAUCAUGUAUUCAUAAGAUCUGCACGUUUGUAUGUAAUAGCGAGAACAAGAAAAGACACUUUUAGAAAACGUGUUAGAGUAGUAAUAGGCAAAUUUUUAUCACUGUCCAUGUUAGUUAGAUGUAAUAAUUUAGCUAUAUUCCUCUUAUACUAUGCUAGUUUAAUUAGCAGUUUU
rnacentral:lncRNA from 1 species